rnacentral:rRNA from 1 species
UACGUAGGGUGCAAGCGUUGUCCGGAAUUAUUGGGCGUAAAAAGCUCGUAGGUGGUCUGUCGCGUCGGCUGUGAAAACCCGUGGCUCAACCCCGGGCCUGCAGUCGAUACGGGCAGACUAGAGUGCGGUAGGGGAGACUGGAAUUCCUGGUGUAGCGGUGAAAUGCGCAGAUAUCAGGAGGAACACCGGUGGCGAAGGCGGGUCUCUGGGCCGUAACUGACGCUGAGGAGCGAAAGCGUGGGGAGCGAACAGG